AUGGUGACCUCAGUGUAUGGGCCGCAGGCAGUGGAUGACAAGGUGAGGUUUCUGCAAGAGAUCGAGCUCAUUGGGCAGCAGGUGCAACUCCCUUGGAUCAUCAACGGGGAUUUCAACCUCGUCAGAGGCGAGGGAGAGCGCAGCUCGGGGAGGGCUGAUCGAAGGAUGGUCAGUAAGUUCAGGCAUACCAUUAACUGUUUCAGUUUGCAUGACAUGCCGCUGGUGGGCAGAAAGUUUACUUGGUGCAAUGAUCAACAGAGCUCAGUCAUGGCUAGGCUUGACAGGGUGCUU
rnacentral:rRNA from 1 species